CAGGGAGAUAGGAUGCUAUGGCUGGUGUCCUAGCUAAGAUAGAGCUCCACCUGCCUCUGCCUUCCAAGUGCUGGGAUUAAAGACACAUACCACUUCGCAGCAUCCUCCUUGUUCUUGACGCAGAAUCAGCGUUAUGGCUCAAUGAGUCGGAUGUAUGAUCUUCAAGGUUUUCCACACAGUUCCCUGUUGGACUGGCCAGCGCCUAGCUGAAGACACUCUGGCUGCUUUUACUCCACACAAAACUUCCUUUCGAACCUUGGAAUUGCUAAAGAAGAAACAAGGAUGUCCUAUUGCAAGAAAUAUUAAAUAUGAGUCUUUUUUUUCUUUUAGAUUUCUUUGAUGAGAAUUAGAAACAAGAGAGUUUUACAUGACAAUCCCAGUUCCAUUCUCUCUCUCCUCCUCCCGUACCCCGCCACCCACUAAAUCUUACCAAUCAAAUAUCCUUU
rnacentral:lncRNA from 1 species